CAUGCCACGUAGGAUAGAAAUUGGUGGGCCAUCUUCUACUGUUUUGGCUGUUCUUUUUUUUUUUAUUUCUUCUUUUUCGCGUUGUGUCUAGAGCUAUUAUCCAUAGAUCGGUGGAUGCUAGGUUUUGCGACUCAGGAGAUGCGAUGAAUCCGGUCGAAUUGCAUCGUUUUGUUCUUCAUUUGUGCAGUAGAUUCAUCUGGUGUAGUUUCUUCUGGUCUAGGUCGAAUCUCGUCUUAUUAGUUUCAUCUGGUGUAGGUCGAAUCUCAUCUGGUGUAGUUUUGAAUUUUGAAUUCUCUAUAAUUUUCCCUCCUGAUUGAAUUUCUUCUAAUCCACUUGUCUAUAAAUUGAGGAUGGGGAAGAGUCGAGACCAACAAAUUAUAGUUUGGCUUGGACAGGAUGGUUCAUAACGAGAAGGCGAAGGUGGAUGUCAAGUUCGAUGAUGUUGCAGAUAUAUUGCCUGGGAAAUAAAAUGUUUGUAUUAAGGUAAAAUCCAUGCUUCUGAAGUUGGUAUCAUGCGUUCUGGAUAGCCACCAUCUAAAUAGACCAGAUAGAAUGCAGAACAACUCAGCCCGUGAUAAAGUCAAUUCUGUCAAGUGUAUAGAUAUAUGAGUCUUUAACCAUUGAAUUUCAUUAUAUGCACCACUUAGUUUCUAAGGUUAGAAAUAAUUAAGUUAUGUUUGUUUUAGUUUGACAUGAUUCUCCUUUAUUAUUUAAUAGAUGUAAUUGGUCUAAUGACUGGAAUUUCUGCUGAAAAAGAGUAUGUUAGGGAUGGUAAGAUAACAAAAAUGGUUGUGAUUGAGGUUAUGGAUUCAAGGUAUAAGUUUUUCAUGCUGCCCAUUUUGAUAUGAUGUUUAUGUGUUCAUAGGCUUAUUUGUGUGUUUUAUUUGCUUGAAUAGUGGGAAAUGUGAGUGUGCUCUAUUUGGUGACUAUGUUGAUGAUUUGAAUAAGAAGAUGGGAAAAUCUUCUAAAGGCCUUCCUGCAUAAGUUUUUAUGAAUGGGAUUGCUCUUCAUGGCGUUGAUGUUGAUUCCAAUGUGCAUUUGAUUGGUGGGAGUGCAAAACCUCCACCUGAUGAAGAGUUUCUACGGAUGCAUCCUAAAAAGAAAAUAGAUGUGUGAAACAUAUAUUUCAAGUUGUUCCUAGGUUCAAGGUCAAGAUUGAAGUGAGCGAUGGUGAUUCUACUGCUGGAUUCAUUCUCUUUGAUUCUGACAUAAGUUAUUUGAUGGAGAAGUCAUGUGCUUACUUUGUUGCCCAAAGGCAUCAAAUGAAGGGGUUUAUCCCAUUGAAUUUGAUUUUCUGGUUGGUAAGAAGAUGCUUUUUACUAUCGAUAAGGGUGUGAAGCAAACAAUCAAAUUUGAUGGAUCAUUUAGGGUCAAAAGGGUUUGCUUAGAUGCAAAAAUUAUUGAAAUCUUUGUUGCCCAGGGCCAUAUGUUACUCAUGUCAAGGUUUUUACAAAACACCCUUUGUUUUUGUUACCUAUAUGCUUUGUCACUAUACUUCAUUUUGCUGUUCUUCACAAAUCCAUGAUUUUUUCUAUCUUAAUUUGGAGGCUGUGUCUCAGAUUAUUGAUGUUGAUUCAGAUGAAAUAGUAGAUGAUGUUGAUUUUGUGACCUCUCCUGCUGAAGUCCAAAAGAUUGAUACAAAUGAGUGUGCGCCAAUGACCAUGAAGAGGGACCUCGAUGAAUCUUUGAAUGUUGUAGCUCAAGUUGAAGGGAAAAAACAUUUGAGGAAAGUCAAGAUAGAGAAGGAAUGAAUUCUAUGGAUUUCAUGAAUCCUUGAUUAUCAUAAAUAAUUGGUUGUACCUCUUAUUAAGUUUAGUAUUGUAUGUGUGUUAUGUUGAGCUCAUUGUGAUUGUGCCUUAAAUAAUAGUUGUUUGUUCCACUGCAUUGCGUUUAUGUAUAUGCAGUGAUGUUUUGUCUCCUGAUAUGGAGUUGAAUGUUAUGUGUUCUCCUGUAUUGCUCUGAUGUGCAUGCAGUGAUCUUCAAUGUAUUAUAAGUUAUGAUAAUGAAACUACUUAGUUCUAUUUUA